GACAGUAGCAGAGCGAGCCAGAGGCAGGGAGGAGGCAGCGAAGGAGCAGCUCUCCUCCUGAGUCUCCAUCCCAGAGAAGACAGAGAGGAAGAAGACCGGGAGAAGUCGACAGUCCUGCCUCACCGGUGCGUCCCAGCAGCUCCUGAAGUUAAAACCAAGACGUCUGCUGUGAGGUCAAGAGGACAUGAUGUGCCAUGAAGACUGUUAGCUGUGACUGAACCUGAAAACUUGUCAGAAGACUGAACACAGAGGAUCCUUCAGGAGUUGAUGCAGAGACGUGCGACACCGGGAGCCUGAACACAGCCUCACCUGACACAAGGAUGUGUGUGUGUAACACAGAGUGCAGAUACAUACAGGGAAUCACAUAUGACCCCACACACACACUAACAUGAACCCUUGCUCAUCCUACUUCCUUCCGAAAAUCUUUUUCAUCACUAUUUUCUUUGUCAAGCCUCUGCUGAGUGCUUAGUCAUAGUAUCUCCAGGUAGACCAGAACAUAUCAACUGUUAAGUGGAAUCAUUUGCAGAUUAGAUUACUACAUAAACCUGCUAAGUGUAAUAUGUAAAACAAUUAAGUGGUGGAAGAAUUUAAUCUACAAUAAUGCGUCAUAUACUAUGAGAUGAUCAUAUGUUUUGCAUCUAAAAUCUUAAUUUUCAAGUCACUUAAUAGGUAGUGGAAUAAAUGUACAAUGUAUUCCUCAAAUGUAGUGAACUAUAAGUGUAAUGUUGCAUAUAUUGGAAGUAAAGUACCCAGUGGUGGAAGGAGUACUACUGGAUUAUGAGUAGUGAUGCAUUCACAUUGAACAGCUUUUUAAGGUUAAAUUUAACUACUUUAUAUACUGGGUAGUUCAAUCUAUAAUAAUGCAUCAUAACUUAUAAUAUAAGAGUGGUGGAGAAAGUAUCCAUGUCCUUUACGUAAGUAAAAGUAGUAAUACCACUCACUAAAAAGCCCGGCAUUGAAAAUGUUACUCAAGUAAAAGUACGUAUUAUCAGCAAAAUGUACUCAGAAGUAUCAAAAGUAAAAGUACUUAAUGCAGAAAAAUGGCCUCUUUGAGUGUCAUACUAUUAUGUAUUCUUAGAUUAUUAUUACUGAUUCAUUCAUGUGUAUGCAGCAUGUUAAUGUUGCACCUGGUUGAAGUAAAACAAAUUUUAACUACUUUAUAGACUACGGGGUAGAUUAGUCUACAAGAGAGCAUAACGUUAAUCUGGUUGUGUUUACAUGUAAAUAUCACUGGUUUACACUAUUUUGGCAUCAUAAUCUGUUUCUUCAAUUAAUUGUGGUUUCCUUUUCCUACUAAAAUCAAGCGAAUAUACAUAGAAUAGAAAUCACUUAAUUGCAUUGAAUUCUUAUUUGUAGGUUCAUAUUUGAACGGCACCAUAAUAGCUAUUCAAAUUAUGUUUUAUAUGUAUAUCUCUAGUCGAAUACAUACAACAAAAUGGCUUAUUUUAUCAAGAGUAACUGCAACCUUUACACUCGUGAAACUGAGUGCAUGGAAAUCCAUCCUUUUUCAAGUCUAAUUAGCAAGAAUAAAUGUAACCUGUUACCUCACUGCUCAGGCCUGAGGCCUUACAGAGGAUUUGUGAGGAUCCGCAGGUCCGUUCUUCGGUGUGUCAGACCACCACCACCACCUCCUCCACCUCCCCACCUUCAUUGCACCACAGUUGCAAUAUUAAACUUGAAUAAGAUCAUUAGCAUACAAAGCAGGAAACCUACCGCGGUGGAGUCAUACAUAUUUAUCUGGACGUGCCUUACUUGUGCGUGCACACACUCGUACUGUAACCCCUUUAGACACAGGCGUGACUGGCUUUCUGCUGCAGAAGAGCUGUGAACAGACACUAUCAAGUGGAUAUUACUGGGAGCGUGUCUAGUUUUAAGGGAUAAAUAUUUAUUUGUGCAACAUCUGACGAGCUUGCAUUUGAACAUGUGUGGCUGCUUGUAAGACUAAAAAAACGUGUUUAUUUGGAGACAGAGCAGAUGGAGUUUGGUUAGGUUCAUCAGAGCAUCUUGCUUCGAGCAUGUCAAAUAUAGUUUACACACAGAGGAAUUUCAGAAUCUAACAAUGCCUGCAAUACAUAUUUACCUGCUGCAGACAGAAGCACAUUAUCAAACAGAGGGAAAGACAAACAGAGGGCAUGGUCUUGUAAAUAUUUGUAUCACCUGUAGGUUACCUCUGCCUUUUGAAUGACUUUCCUUCCCUUGUUUCCUUCCUCUUCAAAUCCACUUUUUCUCCUCAACCAUGCUAUCCCCGGUUCCCCUGCCCUUUUGGAGAUCACUUUCUACACUUUCCUUCUUUUCCUCAACCUUCCUGGUGAGAGCACGCAACCCCUCCUUUAUUUCUGGCAACGCAGAGUUAAUAUGCCUUCCUCCUUCCUUCUUUUUCCUCCCUCCUGUGAGAUUGCUGUUGUGUCUUAUGGCUUUUUAUUCCUACGUGAUGGUAGAUGGGUUCAUGUAGGAGUAGAAGCCACUAAACACGCGGUGAGUGCUCAACGCGCUGGCCAACACACACAGCGAGCUUCCUGUGGAUAUGACAGCUGCCAUGUUCACAUCAGUGUCCUGCCCAUUAUCAGAAUAUGCACACAGUAAAAAUAGUACAGGGUAAUCACUGCAGAGUGGAUCAUCUUUUUAGACCAGAUUUGUAGUGUAAAAAAUCCUUUUAAAUUACAUUAUUAAAUGGUUAUUAUACUUAAUUCAACAAUUGGUUUUAAGGCAAGGAGCAGAAUGUACUGUAAGUUUGGGCUGACAAAUCAAUCUGAACAAAUCUUAAGUUGUGAACAGACCUACCUUUCCCACCUGCAUGCUGGCUGCACGUGCUCUGAAUUUCAAACGCAUUCCUGCAUUCCUCUGCCCCGGGGUUGUUGUACAAAACUGGAGCUGGGAAGUUCUCAAAAUAGAGAUCAGGAGGAGUGGAUGUCACAAUUGAAAUUAAAAAAACUUGCAGAGGUAGGUCUUGAAUGUUGUUUAAUAAUGUACAGAAUCUGAUGUGACUAUGUAUUCUCCUAUGAAGCAAAGGUGAGAACAUACAGAAACCUGUUACAGGACACAGUAUGUGUUAUAAAGUGACCUGCAGAAGGUUGAAAUAUUGCACAUCACAAAUAUCAGUUUCACAUGCUACUGCUGUCAACCAUAUAUCUCCAACAACUUUUCAUGAGCUUCAGCUUUGUGAUGAUGUAUUUUUCAGAAAAUCCCAUUUAAUUGUCUUGAACCUGCAUUAACUGAUCUGAUUUUUGGCCACUUGGGGGAAGCAGAAAAGCUGUAAAACAGCACUGACAUAAUAUAACCUUAUAAAGUUGGCCAACUUGUUAGCAAACACAUCCAGCAGUUACUUAGCAACAUUAGCAUUCAUUUGAAGUCAUGUUUUUGUCCACUUCAGGAAUGUAUAUUUAAUAUUUACAUGUUAGCUCUGUUUUUGGUCUCCACCAACUCCUGAGGGAAAUAUCUGGCUCUUUAGCUGCUAAAUGCUCCACUUAGUUCACCAGCGAGUCACUAACUGUGUCUGUCUGCGCUUUGGUGCUGGGCAGAUAAGGUACGGAUAAGGCGUUUUGGCUGAAAGCAGUAAAGUUGCAUGCUGGAAAACCAAAACAAUGAGCUGAAUGAAGUUAAAACACUCCAUAGAGCUAUCUUUGGGUUGGUCGCUAUGAGCAACUCCUUUCACAUUACAUGUCAUUUGUUCCAUUGUUAACUAAAGAUAUUGAUUAUAGCAGCUUUAUGAAACAAAGCAAAUGUUCUCAGCCCAUAAAGAAAUACUUAAUCGUUCAGUUUGUCUCAAAAAUCCUAAAUCACCAAACUUGGAGAUACGUGGUGUUCACCAGACAAUGACUAUAUGCUUUUUUGUUUAUUUAUAAAUUCACAUACACUUUAGUCUUUGGUUAUUCAUUUCACAUAUACUCUUUGUAAGGGCUCCCUUAGGACUGAUCAGACAAACACUGUUCCUUUAAAGCUUUUAGCACCAACCUGAAAACUGCAACUCGGCUCAGUGCAAACCCCUUAAUUUAUCGUCCACUCGCAAAUUAGGUCCAGGACAGUUUGGCCAGCUCAAAAUGGCUAAUAAUGGCAAUUUUCUGCCGGAACUGAACUCAGUGUCAACCAAUUAAGCAAGAAACUCAAAUUAUCCUGUUCCUCUUGGGUCCAGUUGGGUGCUGUGGGAGUUUGGGUUUAAAUGUCAACCUUCUGUUUGUAUUUGCUGUGAAAUAUACGCCGCUCGUUCUCUCCUCCCGAGCAGAAUCUGAAUAAAGCCUAAAUGGGUUGUUGUCGGAAACCAAAAACUGAAUUAUUAAUCCCUGGAUAUUACAAGAAUUUGACACAUGCUUGCAAUUGUGUGACAUUACUUCUGCACCAAUAUGAGGUGGAUAAUUAUUCAAGAUGAAAUUGCAAUAGAUAUGGUCUGCAGAGGUUUAAUGAUUUAUUCAAAGCUGUAAGUUGUUAUGAUCUAAUAUUCAGCGGGUGAGAUGGAUUUCUUUUGCUUGCAUUAUCAGUUUAAUUCAUGUUUCCGGUUCUCAAUCGGAACCGGAAACAUGAAGUAGUUUUUUCUUUUUUAUAGAGACAUGAGGAGGUCUGAGGGAACAGUAGAGCAGUGGGGAUACAUUAGAGGAGACUGAGAGAGGAUUCGACCUGGGAGCAGCAGGGGUCGAUUGGAAUCUAAAGGUGGGAAUCAACCAUCAUGGCAUCUAUGGGAAAGAGGCUGCAUUAUUUAAAACAGCACUGGAAAAUUAAGGUGGAGAUGUGUUUAAAUAGAUUGCUGCCAUCCUCUGUUUCGCCUGAGGGUGUGUAUGUGUUUUCCUGCGUUCCUCAGUUAUGAUCUGACUGUAAACCUCAAAUUUCCAAAAUGUUCGGAGAAAUAACACACCAAACCCUAAUUUCCGCUUUGACAGCUGUGCUUUUUUUUUUUCUUAUGCAACGGCUUUUCAAGAGUCCUCGGGUUAUGACACUUGAUCGAGCUGUACAAGGUCUCAUAAUCCUCAAGUUCAGGUAAAAACAUGAAAAUCAUCAGAAUUGGAGUAAUGGGAUUUUCAUCUGACAGCUGCAAUAACGUAGCGUGUUUGUGUACAGUAGGCUUAGUGUUGUGCUACUGUAUCCAUCCCCCCUCAGGCUCCACUUUUUUCCUGUAAUAAAUAAUGCUCUUUUGUGUUCACUGCUUCAUUUGUUCCCUGUUGUAACGUCAGUGCUGCUCAAUAAAUUAUGAAUCACGCCUGUUCAA